AGGGGAGGCACGGCGCUCGGUUGUACUUCCACUGGAUGAAAACUGAAAAUAUCUGUAAAUGAUUAAAAUGAGAUCCCUGGAGAUAAUUGCAAUAUCACAAUUUUGCUGAACUUUCACCAGCUCCAUCACCUCCAUCUUAGCCUCUACAACCAAUGUUAUCUCCCAAAAGAGGGAGCAUAUAAUUGUGAGAAAAUUUGAAUUGAUGCAAGGAUCUGAGGAGCUAAAAGGCCACUCAUAGCUGAACAAGAGACUUAAAACUUUUGAAACAACAUCCUAAAGAGAAAAGUAAGUUAAUGCAAAACACUGAAA
rnacentral:lncRNA from 12 species